rnacentral:rRNA from 1 species
CCCUAGUAACGGCGAGUGAAGCGGGAAGAGCUCAAAUUUGAAAUCUGGCGGUCUCAGGCCGUCCGAGUUGUAAUCUAGAGAGGUGUUUUCCGUGCCGGACCGUGUACAAGUCCCUUGGAACAGGGCGUCAUAGAGGGUGAGAAUCCCGUCCAUGACACGGACUACCGGUGCUCUGUGAUACACCUUCAAAGAGUCGAGUUGUUUGGGAAUGCAGCUCAAAAUGGGUGGUAAAUUCCAUCUAAAGCUAAAUACAGGCGAGAGACCGAUAGCGAACAAGUACCGUGAGGGAAAGAUGAAAAGAACUUUGGAAAGAGAGUUAAACAGUACGUGAAAUUGUUGAAAGGGAAACGCUUGAAGUCAGUCGCGUCUGCCAGGACUCACCCUUGCUUCUGCUUGGUGCACUUCUUGGUGGAUGGGCCAGCAUCGAUUUUGAUUGCCGGAAAAGGGCGGGAGGAAUGUGGCAGCUUUUGCUGUGUUAUAGCCUUCCGUCGUACACGGUGGUUGGGAUCGAGGACUGCAGAACGCCUUUGGUCGGGGUUCGCCCACGCCACGUGCUUAA